ACCUACUAAGAGUCGUUUGUGCAUUUGGAUAGUUCCAUUUGGAUAAGAGAUCCAGGUCACAGCAGCAGUGGGAUGCAAUAGUUCUCCAAUUCUUUAUUAGCAUAAAUAAUUCAGACAUUGGUACCUUACUAAACACGGCACUGAACACAAAGAAACAAUUGGAUAAUCUGUUCAAAGAGGUUCACAACCCGCCAAACAGCCCAAAUUAGAAAUACUUUUUGAGAAGUGUAGAAAACUUUAUAAAUAUUACUGUACAAAUGUACAACAGGAACCGUCCAUAAACCUUGCCUUCUUUUUCUGACUGGCAUUUGAUUCAACUGUUUUUGUAUUUUUUUCCCCUGACAAGAUGUUGGCAAUAUUAGAAAAGGAAAAGGGGGGAGGAAGAAUAUAAUGAGAGAAAAGGCAAAAGGAUAAAGGGUGGGGAGGAAGUAAGGGAUGAGGUGGGGUGUAGAGGAGAAGAAAACUGCCUACAAAAGGAAAACAGAACUCAACUUUUUGUGUAACUCAUUCUGCAACAGUCAUCAAAUAUGAACACCAAGAAAACAAUGCAGCCGCCAGUCUGUGUCGAACUGUACAAGAUUUAGUCUUUAUAUAUUUAUAUAGUAUUUAUAUUUAUAUAUAUAUUUAUGUAUAGAAAAAGGUAACAGCAUACUUUACACAGAGAGAAAGCCUUUUUUUGUUUUUUGUUUUUAGUUUUUAGUUUUUUUUUUGCAACUGACAAAGCUUCCCAAGGCCGACAUCCACAAAAGUGAUAAACCAAAUAAAACAUGCUACAAAUACGUGGGGUAGAAUAGCGGCGAGGGCAAUCGAGCAGCUCAGAGCGCAGAGGGGAUCAACGGAGAAGGUAAUAGACACAGGGGUUGUGGUUCUGUCCCCAGUUCUACCCUGCCCUCUACCCCAAAUGAGGGCACUUUUAUCUGGGCUUGGGCAUAGAGCGCUUAUCCUAUUAUGAUCAAUACUUUUCUCCAGGUGUUAAAGCAGGCCAUGAUGCUAGAAAUGGGAUAGAUCCCACUCUUUCAAGUCCCUCUGUGGAGCUGAACAAGGACUUCUGCACUCCUGGAAUCCUGAUGAUAAUGAUGAUGAUGAUGAUGAUGAUGAUGAUGAAGAGGAGGAUAUAAGGAUGGUGGAGGUGAUUGUGAUAAUGAGCUAUCAUUCAUGGACCACUUUAACAUUUUCAAAGUACUUUACAUUGUUAGCUCAUCUGAGAUACAGCUUAUAGGUAUAGGCCCUCUAUAGGGUUCCAUUCUGGUUGUGAUACUAUCAAGAGCAGAGAACCCAUGCAAAUCCUUGAAUAAAUCAGGUGAGGUUAAAAUCAAUAUGGCAGUAGGCCAGAAAGAAAUCUCAUCCCAUACUUUACCUUUCUUGUACCUUCUCUUUCAGUUAUUGCUUCUUGGUAAACUGGGCAGUGUAGUACAAUGUAGAAUGCGAAUUUAGAGUCAGAGGAUAGAACUCUCAAAUCUCAGCUCUGCAUUUACUACUCAUGAGAAACUGAAUAAGUCCUUUCCUUCUUUGAGCCUGUUUCCUCAUGUGUAAAAUAAGGGAGUAAGUUGAAAUGAUCUCCAACAUCCCUUCUAAUUCUCAACCGAAGAUCUGAUGAAGGAGCAUAAUUUGGACUAGAUUGUCAAAGUCGUCCUUAUUAAUUCUAAAAUUUGGGAGUUUCAUGAUCCGGGGGAUUGUUGUGGAUCUUUGGUGUGAAAAAUGUUAAAAAGUUAGACUUCCACAGAAUAUUUCACGUUUCAAUGUAAUAUAAGAUAAUAAGUACCAUUAACCAAUGAGUUUUCAGAAGGAGAAACUAACCUGCUACAAAAUCCUGAUAAAGGGCUCUAGCCUAGAAAUUGGUUUAUAGGAUCAAUGGAAGGGAGAAGGCUUUUUUUUAUUGUGCUUGCUUAAAGAGGCUCAUGCGUAGUAUCUUCACCACCGAGGGUGGGGGAGCAAUAACACAAUUUUAUUCACAAUGGAGUGAGGAGAAAUGGUUCUCUAGCCAGUCAAAGGUGAGGGGACUAAUCUAGUCAAGGUUGCUCUUGAUUAUCUACUAGUUUACUCUCUCUGAGGGAAAUGUGCCAAUCUCUCUCUUUCUCUCUUCCUUUCCCUCUCCCCCUCCUCCUUCUCUCUCCCUUUCCCUCUUUGUCUCUCUUUGUCUCUCUCAAUCAAAUAUCACAAACUUUAAAAUUGAAUCUGGGGUCUUGUUUCUCAUACUGAUAACUAGGAAAUAUCUAGGAGUGAGGGGAGAAAAAAAGGAUGCUGGGAUUGGGGUAAAUGAUGCAUAUUCUGCAAAUACUUUUGUGCUUUAAUGGUUUUCGUUUUCAAAGCUAGAAUUCAUUAGCCAGGUUCUCACUGAAGAAGGGUUGAGUUGAAUAAAGUCAAGUGAAUGAGCUUUGUAACUUGUAUGCCUGUUAUUGCAUUUUCCUGUUCAUAUCAUCUUUUUCAAAUUAUAGUACUGUACUGCUGAUGUUUGUAUAGCUUGUGGUCUACUAUGGUAUCCAAGUCUUCCUUCUAUCCCCUUCCUCUGCCACACCAGAACUAUUUCUUCUCUGACUUUGUACUUGUAAUGAAUAAUUGGUUUGGGGCAGGAGGUUCUUGUACUUGUCUGUGGAAAACUCAAAGUCAUUAAGGUCCCUGACUUUGUAACUUCUGCUUUUCACAUCCUAAACCAUACAUACUCUCCUGGAAAGAGUCACUGGAUCAUCUACUUAAGGGAGGACCUCCCAUAAGACAUGGCAGAAGAUGGGCCUUGAAGAGGAAGACAAAGCUUGAGAGUUCAUUCCUUCUGGCAGAAUGUGAAUUCCUUGACAGCAGGCACUAUUUUAUUUGGUUCUUAUUAUCUAUGGCCCAGUGUUUAACAAUUGGUGCUUAGGAAAUGCAUAUUGUGAUGAAAGGGCCAGCCCCAACCACCAGAAGAAGUGUCAGCAAGAGUAUCAAGAGGUUAUGGGGGACUGAAAAAAGCCUUCCUAGUGUGAGGUGAUUUGCUGAGCAAACUGUGGUCCAAUAUCUGGAAAGUGAAUGGGCUGGCACCAUGAUUUUUAAGGGACACAUUGAAGGCAGCCCUAGCUUGAGAACACCUUUCAAUCUCCUUGUUAGAAAAACAGCACCUCUCUCUCUCUCUCUCUCUCUCUCUCUCUCUCUCUCUCUCUCUCUCUAAAAAGCCCUUCAGAGAUUCACAGUCACUGACACUUCUAAUACUUGUUCCCUGUGUGACCCUAGUUAAGUCACUUUUCUCAGCCUCAAUUUCUUCCUCUGUAAAAAGAGAGAAUUGAAUUAGAUGGUAUCUGAAGUCAGGUUGUGAUCCUAUAAAGAUGUGAGAAUGAAAUAAAAAACUGACAGAGAAACACAAGAGAGAAACAGAGACAGAGAGAUACAGAAACACAGAAGGACAGAGAGAGAGAGAGAGAGAGAGAGAGAGAGAGAGAGAGAGAGAGAGAGAGAGAGAAGAAAGGGCCAUGUUAUCUAUGUUAUCUUUAAGAAACUUAAGACUCUCUUGGGAAUCUGCAACCACUUACAGAGAGUAGUGUCUGGCAGACAGUUCUCCCAGAGUAGAUUUUUCUCUGGAUGAGUGGGCAUUAGUCCCACCAGUGGGAUAUGAAGGGGCACAGAAGAGAGAAAAUCAAUUACCUUUAUUUCUGUACUUGGAGGACCUCACUGUGUUUGUCCUUUGUUUUUGAAGAGGACCAUGAAAUCAGGAAGAAAAUGCUAUGGCUUGCAAGUGAAUCGGAUUUAGGUGAGGGAGAGCUGUGCAAGGUCACCAGACUCACUUUGUCUUCCAGAACCAUCUGGGUCCAGUAAUAAAAUAGAGAUCAGUAUGACUGAAGAUGGCCCUGGAUGCAGUGAGGAACCUUAGCCUUUUAAAGCUAAGAUCUUUAAUAGAUCUCAGUUUGACUGAGGAAACACCCAUUCAGUGCUUAAGGCUAGGUGAGAAAUGAGACCUCCUACCUAGUCAUCCUUCUUCUGGACUCAGUAUCCUUUUUACCUUGCUCUUAAGAGCGGGACUGUCUUUUGCUUCUUUGUGUCUUCAGUGCUAAGCAUAGUUCUUGUUAACCAGUAGGUACUUAACAGAUACUUGUUGAAUAGUUGGCUGUGGUGGAGAAAGAAAUAGUGAUGGAGUUAUAACUAGCAUCCAGCAAACCCAGGCAAAGAUCCAAUAUGGAGGACAUGUCUCCUUUAGAUAAUCAUAACUUCCAUGUCUCAUUUGAAGGCCUUUGCCAUCAUUCUAGUGUAAAGUCUCUCCUCUACUGCGUCUUGGGGUUGAGGGAGAUUGGGGGAGGUGAGGAUGAAUCUGAUGCUCUUGAACAGCACAACUUCCCUUGCAGUCAGACUGAUCUCCAAGCUUCCACUGCCAUCCCCAAGUCUUUUGGCUAAGCUGAAAAUAUUCUUAAUUAUGACACUGAAAUAAUAAUAUUAACUAUUAUUAUCAAUAAUAUUUAAUAAUUUUAAAUUUUAUUUAUUAAUAAUAAUUAUUAUUAUUAAUUUUGGGGGUAGAAAAAGGCUGAGUGAGAAUUUCCUGUUGUUUUCAGGUCCCCAAAGACUGAGAUGGUGUUUGGGAAAUAGCCCUUUCCUACUCUUCUCCAAGGAAGAUCAUCCUCAAAGCCUCUUGACUGAGAGCACUAACAAUAAGAAAACCCAGUUCCUUCCUGAAAGCUGCCCUGUCCUACAACUACAUAAAGAGCUAACCCUGUUUUCAUUCUUUUUGAAGCUGGGAUGCUCAGAAAAAGAAAGCCUGUGGUUCUUCUGGGUAGAAGAUGGAAGAAUAUGAUUUAAUUGGCGGAGCAAUUCAAGAUGGGUGAGACUGGCUGUUUCUGGGUCUUGGUGAAAGAUCCUUGAAGAGGAGGUUGGUAGCAGCUGGAGCAGAGUCAAGCAAUAAUGAUCACAAGCCCUAUUUCCAGCCCCUCUCUGGGAAUGGUUAGGGAGACCUGGCUACAAAUAACAAAGUUCAAGAGAUUGAGGCAAGGGUAAUAAUAGGUAAAGGCAGGAUCCUGGAACCCAGAUGAGCAAUGACAAGCUUGACUUUGGAUUGCAAACACUGGCCCCUGCUAAGAUGUCUGGAUAAUGAGGCUUUGACUGCUGGUUGAAAGUACAAGAAGGAACAAGUUUUGGAAUGAGAACAUGGAUUUCUUCAGAGUCCUUAACUGCUCACGGAAAAACUUAAGAUCCUCUCCAACCCUGGUGAGAUGGGUUCAUCAAAGGAGUGAGGUAGAGAGGCUUAGGAAGAUGCUCAGGGACUGUUGAGGAAGGAAUAUUUAGUCAUUUUCCAGGCUCAAGAAAGAUCAAGGUAUGAUCUUGCUUUAGAAUCCAUUCUUUCAGGUUCUCAAAGAUGAGUUGGUGGAGGAUGGUAGCUACUGAGGCAUUGGGCACUGAGACCCGAAACAAUGACCUAAGAAGCUGGGGGAAGGCACCAAAGACAGAGGGCCAAAAGCAACAGUGGUAAUUUCAAGAAAUGGUCGGAUCCUAUGAGAUUUGGUAACUGAUUAUCUGCCUGAAAUGAUGCUAUUUAACAUUUUUUGAAAGCUUUUGAUAUUCACUUCAAAUCCACAUCCUUUUGAUUGGAUGUCAUCUACCAUGUACUAAUCUACUUGGCCAGAUCAUUUCUUAAAAAAAAAAAGACCAUAGGGGAAUGUACCAAAGGGCAAGCACAGGUCUGAGGGAGAUACAGGAUGAAAAGAGCUUCAGAAGGACACAGAGGGGCCCUGAAAUAGAGGUUACAAGGCACCAAAGACAAACUUUACAGAUUUCACAAUUUUUCCAGGUCCAGCCUGGACUGCAAGCUAAUAGCACACAGCUGACCUUCCUAGGUCAGGAUCCCACCAACAAAGCCAUGCAUUUCUUCUGAGGAGGGAUCCAGAAGAUGGCUGUUGGUGGGAAGCAGAGUUGGUUUAAAGGUGGCAGAAAAGUGCAUUAGAGUACUCUAGUAUCUACACUGUAGCUACAUAGCAGUUACUGGAACUUACUUGAGUUCUUUUGUACCCAUUUUUUUUUGGUAACACAUAAAAAAGGAAAAAAAGAAUGUUGUGUGUGCCUUGAAGGACAAAUGCAUUGCAUUAAUUGUCCACAAUGCACUCAAAGCUGCCACUAUUGAGACCCCUACAUGCUGCCCUGUGCCUGACAGUGCAGGAGGGGAAAGAGAUUCUAUGAAGAGGGAAGGUCAACCUACCAACGGAGCCCCAUCUGAGGCAGCCCUCUUAAUUCUAACCAUAUUGCUCCUAGCAUCAACUUUCAAGAUGACCUUCAUUUGAGGUCAUAAGAAAACAUUGAUAUUUACCUGGUGUUCAGUCAUUUCAGUCCCCUCUGACUCUUUGUGACCCCAUUUGGAGUUUUCUUGGCAAAGAUACUAGAGCAGUUUUCCAUUUCCUCCUCCAGUGCAUUUUAGAGAUGAGAAACUGAGGCAAACAGGAUAAAGUGACUUUCCCAGGAGCACACAGCUAGUAGAUGUUUGAGAGUAGAUUUGAACUCGGGUCUUGCUUGACUCUAGGCCUGGAGAUCUAUCCACGACCUAGCUAAAUCUGGUACUUAAUAUUUAUGAAAUUGUGGGCACUUAGUUUAGGAAUCUUGAAUUCUAAAUUAUGACCUUUGAAGGAGUCAUCUUGGGAAGAGAUUUUUAAAAGUCAAUGGGACUUCAGUAUGGGAUUUAAUCUAAUCCACAGUCUCUAAAUUGAGUCACUGGAUGAUAGGAUCAUGAAUUUAUAGUGCAAAUUGGACUUGGAGAUCAGUUCGUCCAAUCCCUUCAUUUUACGAGAAAAAGUGACUGAGACCCAUCAAGUACAAGGUGUUUUCCAAGAUUACACAUUUAGUAUGUGAUAGAGUUGGGUUUUGAACUCAGGUCUGACUUCAAAUGUGGUGUUCUUUUCAUCCUGCCAAGGAAGAUUCCAGUCUAUUUUACAGAUGUGGAAACUAAAGCAUAGGUUGGUAACCCUUCUAAGAUGAAAGAUUCGAUGACUUCUGCUUAGUAAUUAGGUCAGUUAAAAACCAUCAGGCUAAACAGUUUAUCUCCUGAAAUUUAAGAUGCUAUCAUUCAUAGAAUAGUAUCUGUGAUUUUAAUUCAGGGAAUUCCCCAUAUGGAACUUCCCUGAUUUGGAUAAACAAUUCAACUUUAAUUUAUGUUUCCAUGGGACACAGAUGAAGUGAGUUGAACAUAGUCACACAGCUAGUAUGAGUCUAGUCCUUCCUAAUUCUAAGGCUCUCCUUUACUCACGAUGGCCCAUUGUUUUAAAUGAUAUCAUGUCUAAAUUUAUGCUCAUUUCUUUACUCCUGUAGAGACAGGUAGAAAGUCCUUGUUAGAUUUGUAGAUCUAAAAUUAGAAAGGACAGUAGAGGCCCUUAAGUUCAACCUCUCUAUUGUAUAGAUGAGGAAAAUAGGUAUGGAGAAGGGGAAGAGAAUUGCCUAGAGUCACAUAAUCAGUAAAUAUAUGAAGCAGUAGCUGAACCAAGGUCUUUAGUCCAGUGCUUUAUAUACCAUGCCCUGCCAAUUAUUGGUACCAUUUUGGAUAUCUUAUUCACCCAGGCAUCUCCCUCCCCAUUCCCCUUUCACAUGAUUCCUAAUGUCUACUUGUGAGAGUGAAAUUCAAAAACUCUACUGUGCAUCAUUUCUCUUUUCCCCCUGUGGGUUAUAGAAGGCAGCCCCAGAGAUGUAAGAAUUGUAUAAAAACUCAUAUGGAUGAGUUAAUCACCAUUCACACCUCUUUAUCUGCUUCCCUAAAAUCUUCAGAGAUGCUAGGCUGGAGGGGUCAGAUGCUGCUGCUAGCUUCAGAAGCCAAUGGGGGGGAAUGAUAGUUUGUGCUUCAAAGUGUCAGCUUCUUAGAAUAUCCCUAGUUUAAUUUCCAUCUCUACAUGAAUAUGUGGUCAGAUUAAAAACAGCAAAUAAUGUGAGGUAAUAUGGCAACUCUAACUCUUUUGAUCUGUCCUGCAGAAUCUUUCAAUUCCUUAAUGACUUAAGGAGCUGUUCCUGAAACUUUUCUGGGACUUAGUUGAACCUUUGACCUUUCAUAUUCCUUCUUGAAUUUGGAAUGAUGCAGCUUGGGAGAAAUCCUAAGUCACCACUUUGGCUUCUCUGGAUCCCACAGUGGAAAAUGUGCACUCACCAUCUGGCCAUUUGAGUGCUCCACUACCUAGGCUCCUCUGAGACUUCCUCCAUAUCUUCACUUCUCCUGGGACAAGUAGAAAUCUUUCAUAGGGACCUUCCCUCUGGCUGCAGCCAAAUCCUUAUUAACACUGAGGAGAAGGUCCAGCAUGGGCCAUGAGAGACUGUACCUAUUCCUUUCUUUCCCCAUCCUCAACCCACCAACUUGCUUUUGGCAAAAUUGUUAUGCCUUCAUUUUCAGUGCCCUUGGACUCCUUCAUUUGGAAUUAGAAAGGACCUUAGAAGUCAUCUAGCCCAUUAUAAAGAUGAGAAAAUUGAGGCAUUGAGGGGUUAAAGUCUAUCAUCCUUCCUCCCUUCAUAUCUUUUAAUAUGUUACUUUUUAAGGCUCAGUCCUCCCAAAGGGAUUUCAAUUUUAGCUGGUACAUCUUUUGCUAGAAAAACACUUAUAUCCUUUUGCCCUUAGAGAUUUGGAUGAAGGGGAAAAUUGUAUCCUUAUCAAAGGAUCACAGAUUUAGAGGUAGGAGGAACUUCAGGGACUAUCUAGGAGUGGAUAGGAUAUAAACUUGGUAUCAGGAAGACCUCAAUUCAAAUCCCAUUGGCUCUUUGGCCCCGGGCAAAUCCUUUAUACCAUUCUGCAACUCAGCUUACUCAGCUAUAAAACAAGGAAGUCAAACUAGGAUCCUGAAAAGGACCUUCAAGACCAGUGAUUUCAACAAUCUUAUUUCAUAUAGUAGCAAACCAUGACACACUCAGAGACUGAAUGAUUUAGCUAAGAUCACGCACAUAGUAAGAGUAACUGGGAUUUGAACCCAUGCCCACUGACUUCUCAUCUACUACGCUUGUCACUGCACCAUACUACCUAUUCAAUAAGCAUAUGGCAAAAAGCUGGGAAGGAUAGCAAUCUGUCAGAAUCCAGAAAGAUGUGGCCAGACUAGACUUCUGGAUUUAAUGCAAAGAUGAAGCCUAGUAGGAAUAAUUACGGAGAAAUCUAAAAGACUUUUUGGAAUUUGCUUUCCAAAAAUCACCUUCAAUAGUUAUGGAAUGGGGAGAAUGGGACUAGAUAUUAAUGAGAAAAGAUCUGGGGUUUUAGUAGGCCACAAGAUCCAUAGAAAUAAAUAGUAUUUCAUGACAAUGGAUAAACCCGACACAAGAUUAGGCUACAUUAAAAGAGUACUGAAAAUGAGGGGAGUGAUUUUUUCAGGUCUAUACAGACUCAAUCAAACCCCAUCUAGAAUACGAUACUUAGAUCUGGGAACUGGACUGUUGGAAGGACAUAAGCAGAGUAGAGAUUGUUUGGGGAAAGGUGGCCAAGAUGGAGGCAAAACUGGGCAUUAAAAGUGAUCAAAUGAAGGAAUCGGAGAUAUUUAUCAAAGAGAAGACUUGGUAAGGAAGGAUAUCUAGCUUUGUGGAAGACAAAAUUGGAAGGGUUAUUACUGGGAGGGAAUUAUUCUGCUUGGCCUCUGAAGGCAUAAUGGGAAAUUGCAAAGAGGCAGCUUUAUCACCUCAUUCAGAUUCAUUAUUAACGAAUAUUUAUUAAGAACUAAUCAUGUGCCAGACUAUGUGCUAAAUUCUGGGGGGACCAAGAAAGGCAAAAGUUUAGGCUUGAUAUCGUCACCAAGAACACCCCAAUGAAAACCCAACUUUCUACCAAUUAGAGCUAUCCCAAAAGAAAAUGAGCUUCUUUGGGAGAUCUGUUUUUUCUUCACUGUAGGUAUUUCAGCAAAAGCUGGAGGACCAUUUGUCCAAGAGGAUGCAAGAGCAUUCUUGUUUAGGUAUGAAUUGGAUUCGAUGGCUUUACUUCUGAAGUUUGUGACUUAAAGACGCACAAGAAUGGGCUUGGCUAUUCUCAUAAAACCAAUUUCCAGUAUGAUGGUAAGUGGAUGUGGGGAAGAGGAAGAAGGGAGAAGAGGAGAGAGGAGGAAAGAAAAAGGAGUGGUGGAAAUUGGAGGAGAGAAAGGAAAGGUCACAGUUGGCCAUCUCCCACAAAAUAGCAAUGAUGAUUUUUAUCCUUUUGCUGAUGGUACAAAUCAUUAAAUUAUAAUCUUCUUAAGAAUAGACGCUGUUUUUUGGCCUUUUUUUGUACCUCUCGUGUUUAACAUAGUUCCUGGCCCACAGGCUGAUUCACCCAAAGACUCACAAGCAAGCCAAUGAAAAAAGAGAGGACUGACUUUUCUCCCUCCAGUUUCCCUCAAAUGUCUUCCUGGCAACUAAGAGUUUCUUCUGAACUGAGGUUGGCAGACAGUCCCUUCAUAUAUCAAAAUUUAUUUGAGCUUAAGGAUCACAAAGAAUCUCUGAAAUAGCCUGGUCUGAAACUGAUGAACUCUUGUUUUACACUCAAUGGUGUCAUUGACCGAGUCUCAUGGAAUCGUUCCUAUCAUUUCUUACUAGGUUGCUAGAGAUUGGAGAUAUUUUUAAAUGAGUGAAAUUAGGCAAGCUGGUAUUUUCCCCCCCUUUCAUGGUAGAAAAAAGUGGGAUUUGUUUUUAAUAAUUAGGCUUUCCAAUGUGAGAAAACAUGAUGCAAAUGACACAUGGCACAAACCAUUGUAGCCAGCACUGAAUGGAGAGAUGACACUUCUCUUCUGCACUAAUUCUGGAUGAAUAUUAGGCAGCUAUUCUUCAUCUUCACUAUUGUGAAACUUCCUUCAAGGCUUCCAGUCUGGGUGAGAUCUUAUCAGGAAGAGCAAGGUGGGGAAGGGGAGAUGCAUGAUGCAAGGGGUCGGAGAGGGAUAAUUUUAGAGACUUUCUUUCAGUUCUGUGAGGGGAAUAUUCACAGUCUUUUCCAGAUUUCAAGAGUUCAAGUGACAUGGGUCUCCCAGGGUCAAGAUCAGCCUGGAGCCAUGUGGGUCUGGCCCAACCUCACCUACAGAGGAAAAGAUGCAGUGACUUAGGAUAUAGAGAAAGGACCCUUUGGGCUCUAGAAUAAACUGUCUUUUCUAUUUAGAGUAUUGGAUCAGUGAAGUCAGAAGAGAGGUAUCAUGAUUCAGUGAAAAGUGGGCUGAAUCUAGAGUCAGAGUAGCUGGGGUCCAAUGCCAGUCCUGUGAUUUAAUACCUGCAUGACUUUUGGUAAAUCAUUUCUUCUUUCUUGGCCUCCAUUUAUUCUCUCAUCUGUAAAAUGGGUAGAUUAGAUUCGAUAUCCUAUAAUAUCUCAAUUAGCUCAUAAUUCUAUGACCCCCAAAUACAUGCCUUAAAUUCCAGAUAAUAUUUAACCUUGCUGUGCCUCAGUUUCUUUGUUUAUAAAGGAAUGAGAUAAAUAAAUGACCUCUAAGAAAUAGAGCCUAAAGAUACUUAAGGUCUCUCAGCCUCAAUUUCCUCCUUUGUAAAAUGGAAUAGAUAACUGCUAAGGACCUUACAACUCUUCUUAAUCUAGGAUCCUAACUGUCAACAUGACUCUCCAAAUGCUGAAGUGCUUUAGUUGGAGGGAUGAAGAGCUGAAGUCAGGAGCAGAAAGCACUCCCAGAUUACAGAGCCAGUGCAACCUCAUUGAACCCAAAGGCCACAUUGACUAGCCUGAUUGCCAAGCAGCUAAGGGUAUCCUUAUGGCUGAGACUGAGGUUGUUUUGCAGGAGAAAAUGUCUUCUCAGGAACUAGGACAAUUACCAAACAGAGCAAUUUUGAGGGACUUCAGGAUAUAAUCCCUUUAGAUUGCUUAAAUCUCCCAGGGGAGCAACUUCUGCUGUUCUCAUAAAACCAAUUUCCAGGAUGAUGGUAAGUGGAGAUGGGGAAGAGGAGGAAGGGAGAAGAUGAGAGAGGAGGAAAGAAGGAGUGGUGGGAAUUGGGGGAGAGAAAAGAGAGAAAAGGAAGGGGCGCCUAAAAGAGCUUGCUCCAAAAUCUGCAAAAGUAAGACAAUCAAUAUUUGUCAGCUCUCUAGUUCUAGUCUCAUUUCUGGGGUGAGUUAGUCUUGUUAAAAAUCUUUUGGGAUCUCAGAUUCCUUCUUUGUAGAAUAAUAUCUUUGCUGAUAUUUUAAAAACAAAACAGCAUUUGGGAAUCCACAUUCAAAGCCUGGUUCUGAUACUUGGAAGCUGUGUGAUCUUAGGGCAAUUCACUUAAUAUCUCAAGGCCUCCAAUCUCUUGAGAAAUCUAAUGGAUAGGUGACCUCACUGAUUUGCAUGUUCCCUUCAGAGAUGCAGAUAGUAGCACAGCUUUGUCUGCCCAUCCUUUUUGACUCUUGUCCAUGACCUCUUCUAAGUUUACCACAGGGGAUGCACCCAAUGUCCUGGAGGUUUUCCUUCCCUUCUCCUGACAUCUUGAGGGUUUGGGUGGGCCAUUUGGGCUGUACAUCUGCUUUACCACAUGACCAGCAUAACUUCUCUCUUCCUCCCACCCAGUUCCUUGAUGGCAUUCUUUACUAUUGCUCUUCUUUGGAGUUUCUCACUGGCCAUAUGUCACAGCAUGCUCGCUCCCUCUACGUAUGACUCCACUGUUUUUCAGGUGACUCGUUUUUCAAUUCUUUAUAGAUUGUUGAAUUUCUGCCAGUAGGCCAGUAGAAUACUGUGAUUCAAAAAGAUGUUUCCUAUAACAACUGGGACCAUUAAAGAAGCUCUAAAAGUAGCAAAGUUUCAUUUCAUUGUAUGUAAAAGAGGGAAAGGCUUUCCAGCUCUAAUGUCUGGCAGUAUAUUAUGUAUCAGGCAUCAAUUGGCUCAUACUAGUCCAUAGGAACACAAAGCCAAGUCUUAACCUCAGUCCUUCUGCCAUUCCUGGAUAUCCCUGCCAAAUGAUGCCUUGCCCAUCUACACUUAAUUUCCCCUUACAAAGCUUCAUCAACUAGCAGCAUAUGUACCUCUUUUUAAUUGUGCCUUAGCACAUCUCUGGAAGGGGGGACCUCACCCACACUGAUGAAAACUGAGGCUGGGAAAUGCUGGUAGUGAGAGUGGAGAGCGAAAACUUAGUUGCAAAGGACAUGUCUGAUUAUGACAAUGAUAGGGGGAAGAGAAAAGAAAGAAUUAGAAAAAGCAGAAAAAAUGGUAAGAUAUUUAUAUUUCAGGUCUAGGUUUCGCUCAAUAGCCACAGGGAUCCCUUUCAGCUCUGGAACUGCUAAUUCAAUGAGUCUGGGACUCAUAUUUAAAGUCAGUGUAGUUCAAUGCUUGACUUGAAUCCAGAAGACAUUGGUUCAAAUUCUACCUUAGAUAAUUAACAGUUCACACUAGAUAAUCAUUUAAUCUCUUUGGAUUCAUUGUCCCAUUUGUAAAAUGAGAGAAUCAGACUUAACAAUAUUGAAUAUACCUCCUAGUUCCAAAUCUCUGAUCCUAUAUCACAGCAGUUCUGGACAAUAUUCAAGGAAGGAGAAAUUGUCCUUUCUUGGGAGUAUGAGACACAGUGGACACACAUAGAGAGAGAGAAAGAAGAAGACAAGGGAUAAGAAGGAGAAGGAAAAGAAGAAUAGGUAGAGGAGGGAGAAGAAAAAUAAAGAAGACAGAAAAGGGGAGAAAGAAGAAGAAGAAAGGAGAAGAUAAGGAAGAAGAAAAAUAAGGAAGAGGAAGAGGAAGAAGGAAGAAAAAGAAGAAGAAAAUGAAGAAGAAAAGAAGAAAGAAGGAAGAAGAGGAGGAGGAAGAAAAAAGAAUGGAAAAGGAAAAAGAAUAAGGAAGAAGAGGGAAAGGAAAAAGAAGAAGGAAGAUGAAGAAGGAAGAAGAAUAGGAAGAAGAAAAAAGAAAGAGGAGGAGGGGAAGAAAGAGGAAGAGUAGGAAAAGAAAAUUACUCUUGAGAAGGGAUUUAUUUCAGUAAGUUGCACUUCCAUAUUAGCCAAAAUCUAACUUUCCACAUGUCUGAUGUUGACUUACUCUCCCUGCAUAACUUUGAAUCUGGAGGGAACCUUAGAUCAUAGAAUGUCAGUACUAGGAAGAGAAUAUCACAAUAUUAGAGUUAGUAGAGAUCUCAGGCUAUAGAACGCUAGAAGAGAAAACAUAGAUGAAAGGUUCUUUCAAGGACAUCUGGUCCAUUUGUUUCAUUUUACAGAAGCCAAAUGAGAGAAUUGCCUUGCAAGGGAUCACGCUGUUAGUUAAGUGGCAGAGGCUGGAUUUAUGUCAGAUUUUAGAAUACUAGUUCUAGAGCUGAAGUGGUUCUCAGAUGUCUUCUAAUCCAGUUCCUUGAUUUUACAGAAGAAGGAAUUGAGACCCUGAGAGAGAAGUGAACUGACUUGGCUGAGCCAGCUCAUUUCCAGUUGAGAGACAGGUGAUCAAAUUGAAUGAGGUCUUCAGAACCCUUAGUCCUCAUUUUAGGUUUUGUUGCUAGCUUUGGUAGCAACUGACUGAUCUCCCUAUCCUGAGGCAACUUGCAUGAUUAAACUGCUUGGGUUCUUUAACUCUGAAUAUGGAUACAUUUGGUCCCCAUUGUGGUGUCAUUCAGCAUCCCGUCUCAUUGCAUGCUGGGUCACUGAAGUGAGAAGUAUUCCAGCAACCAUAAAUUGUGAUGCAUGACUGCCAUGCACAAAGCACGUAUUACCACCCAUGUAUCAGACUCAAAGAAGGGAUUGGACUCUUGGGCAGGAAUUGUCAAGGGAAAUGCUUUCAAAGCGCCUCCCCAUCAGCCCACUCACUCAGCAGAUUGAAAAGGCAGUAAUGGGCAGUAGAUGUAUAAAAUAGUGAAUAGAAGGCAAGACUUGAAGCCAGGGAGAUCCGAGUUCAAAUUCUUCCUUAGACACUGACUAGUUAUAUAAUUCUGAAUGAGCCACUUAACAUCUCCAUGCCUCAGUUUUCUCAAGAAGCAUUGGACCUGAUGAUCUCUAAGGCCAUUUCCAGCUCUAUGGUCUUAUGAAAGAAUAGUGAUAUCAGAAGAUACUCAACCCUCCUUCACAUGAAGAAGGUGAAAGGAUGUAAUCAAAGCCCAUCUUCACAAUAAAAGCUCUAUUUCUUGAUUCCCUGUCUCCUUUGUUCCCUUUCUAUCAGCUCAGGGACCUGCUGGAUUGACAUUAUGCAGACACACAGUGUUGAUAACUUUAUGUAGGGAGGUAGGAGAGGAAAGAGCUCUGGAUGUAGAAUAGAAGGGUUUGGAUUUGAGUCUCAGAUUGAAAAUUUAUUCCCUGUGUAACUUUGGGUCAGGUGUGUUGAUGCUUUAGUUUCUUCUGCUUAAAAUGAAGGAAGGAAUUAAUCUACACCAGGAAAUAUUCUCAUUGGGUCUCUGUCUCUCUCCCUUCCUCUUCCCUGAAAGAGAGAGAGAGAGAGAGAGAGAGAGAGAGAGAGAGAGAGAGAGAGAGUACUAGGAUCAUAGAUUAAAUACUGGGGAAGUAUUCAAAUCUAGGUCUCCUUAACUCCAAGUCUGACUCUCUAUUCAAUAUUCUACCUCCUAAAAUAACCCACUGGAUUAUUUUCAUUGAGAGAACUCAUUCCCAUUUUUGAGUAGCUCAUAUUGUUAAGGAAGUAUUGUUUCUCCCUUUGCAUUAAGCCUGAGUCUUUUUAUAAUUUCCAUUGAUUAUUGCCAGUUCUGAGGGACCAAGUAGAAGAAAUAUAAUCCCUCUUCCACAUGACAGGGCUUUUCAUUUCAAGAUCAAAGUCAAAUCAGAGAGAGUAGAAGCCCCACCUGCCAUAGAGGCCUUAGUGGCUCUUUCUGAUUUUCUCAAGUGUAACAAAAGGGAGCGUAACUAACAUUUUCAAUAAAUCCAAUGUACAGUUACUGAUCUACUUGACUUCAUGAGGACUAGUCAACUUGAGGUUCCAUUAUUUCCAUUUAAUGGAUCAUUUUGACAAAUAAUAGUGACCAGAUCCUGUCAAUCUUCCCAUAAUGGCCAUUGCUUCAGGGUUGAACUAGCGUAUGGUGUUUUUGUUGUUUAGUCUUUUUCAGUCAUGUCCAACUCUUGUUGACCUCUCUGGAGUUUUCUUGGCAAAGACACUGAAAUGGUUUGCCAUUUCUUUCUCCUACUCAUUUUACAGAUGAGAAAACUGAGAGAAACAGAAUUAAGUGCCUUGCCCAGGAUCACAAAGCUAGUAAGUGUCUGACACCGGAUUUGAAUUUGGGAAGAUGAGUCUUCCUGACUCCAGGCUUGGCACUCUAUCCAUUGCUCCACAUAUCUGCUCCAAUGUACAUGGUACAUUGAAAAGAAAAAUGGAUUUGUGGUCAGAUCUUAAUCCUGAUGCUUACUACUUAUGUGACUUUGGGCAAUGACUUAAUCUCCCUCAGUUUCUGUUCUGUCAUUUAUAAAAUAAACAUUUGGACUAGAUGACCUCAAAAAUUCCUUUCAGCUCCACAUUUAGACUCCUGUGAAUAUGAUAAUCCAGAACUUGUAUCACUUGACACUUUCUCUGAUACUCUUGAUUGAAUUUCCUUUCAAUGAUGAAAUAUUAAAUGCCCCUGUCCUUCUCUGAUCCCUAUGGAUGGUUCCAUUGAUAUAGAGUUGUGAAUAUAGACAAAAGAAGCUGAUCUGGGAAAUAUGACUCCCUCUGCCUUGUUUUUCUCUUGUUAAGGACAACCUAAGUAGUUUGGGACCAUCCCAAGAUUGUCUAACUGGUCUCCUGCCCCCAGAUUAAAUGACUGGUUCCAAAGAGGAAAUGCAUGGCAAGCAAUUUGGAUGAGCUCUUUGAAGCCAAGGAUUCUAUUUCACUUAAAGAAGAAACUAGGAUAUUGGAGCAGAAAAGCUAUGAGUACCAGACCACCUGGGUGACUUUUGACUUUGGAUUGUGAAUGAAUGACUGAAUGUGAGGGAGGAUCCAGGGAGGCAGAGUACCUAUGAUCAGCAGAAGAUGGAUUGAAGGCAAUGCCCUUACUGACGUCAGGGCUUCCGGGCACAGAACAUCACCCACUGUGUCUCUUUCCCUUCUGAGUUUGGGCAAGUUCCCUUACAUAAAUUUUAGGUGGGGAUAAGGUUGAGGGUGGGGGCCUGGGAACAUGCCCAUCAGCCGCUAUGGACAAACCUAUCAUGACUAAUUACACCAAAGGCCAAGUGGAAAAAGAAAAUUCCAAAAAGCACAACACACCCACUGUUCACAUUCUUAGUCCUUUGAGUACAGGUAGAAAAUUAAACCCCACACCACUAACCUCAGGUUAAGCUGCGGAGAAAAUGAUUUUCAUUUGGCUUUGUACAUGCUAUGAACAUGGCCCCCCUACACACACACACACAUACACGUACACAUGUACACGUACACACACGCACAACCUAAAUCCUGUAACAGAAUGCAAAGAAGAAAUUGGAAGGAGAGGGUAGGAUUGGCAAAUUCCAGAUUUACAUUUUUCCUGGAGAAGCUCCGAUCUUUCACCAUGAAUGUUUCCUUUGGAUUCCUUCAGCCCUUGAGACAUUUUUGGGCCCAGUCAAGGCAUUGGUGAAGACUCCUUAGAGAAAC
rnacentral:lncRNA from 1 species